GCCCAGCUGCAUUAUUAAAACAUUUGCAACAUUUACCCAAGACUUCCUUGUUAUCACAAGCACAACCCUCAUUUAAAAUUUUGCAUCUUUAACCUCAACUUCUCAUUCUUAGCCUUGGGUUAUUUAUCUGUCCAGUUUUCUUGACCAGAUAAUUGCCUUUAGAUCCUGUAACCAUGAUUAGAACAUUUCUUAUAAAUCACUGAUUUACAGUGGGGUUAUGGUACUGUAAUUCCUUUACAUGUUACCUAAUAGAAAUAAAUAGCAAAUCAAACCAAAUUAAACUAAAAAUCUGAAAAUGAAUGAAAUAAAUGUUCAUGUAAACAAAGCAAAAAAAAAUCAAUAAAUAUGCAGAUAUGAGAAUCUGGAUUUGUUUAGAAUUAAACCACUCUACCGAGUGUCCACAAAUCUAUAAAUAUGAAAAUAUGGAAAUAAACUUUCAUCAAUCAGAAAAUAAAUACCAUAUAUACAAGCAUACAGUUCAGAGAUAUUAAUGAUCGAUCAUAUCGAUCCCCCAUAUGAUCAAAACCCAACCCAAUCAUCGAAGAAAGUCAUUCACAAAACUAGAGAGAAAACAUGUUAAUAGAUAAUAUAAUAAAUAGGAAGAAAAGAAAUAAUGAAACCAAGGUACCAGUCCUUCACAUCCUGCAAAACAGAUGUCAUAAACACCUAGGGUGACAUCAAAAUAACACACAAUAGAAUGACAUCUAUCAUAUUAAAAGAUCUAUAAGUUACCAACACACUCACUUUUUAACCGAUUCUAGUCUCUAAACUCAUCAAAUCAGUCACCCAAUCCAGCAACAUUGAUCCUAAUUUUUAUGUUUUCAAAACCCAAAACCACAUGGUAAAUCAAUGUAUCCUCAAUAUUCAGAAAUUUUCUCUAUCUAUUUAUGCUCAGAAAUCUCAUACCUCGUUUUGUUUUUGAGACCUCUCCCUACACAAUCCACACCAAGCUUUCCAACCACCUGACACCUCCUCACUCGUUUCCCGGAUGAUCCCACCCUAGCCUUGCCGAAAUAGUUGUCGUUACACUCACGUUUUUCCCCACCUUCCCUC
rnacentral:lncRNA from 1 species